rnacentral:rRNA from 1 species
UACGGGGGGUGCAAACGUUGCUCGGAAUCAUUGGGCGUAAAGCGCACGUAGGCGGUCCAGAAGGUCGGGUGUGAAAGCCCUCGGCUCAACCGAGGAAGUGCAUUCGAAACCACUGAACUUGAGUAUGGAAGAGGGUCGCGGAAUUCCCGGUGUAGAGGUGAAAUUCGUAGAUAUCGGGAGGAACACCAGUGGCGAAGGCGGCGACCUGGGCCAAUACUGACGCUGAGGUGCGAAAGCGUGGGGAGCAAACAGG